AGCUGGAACAGGACAAAAGAGCGAGAGAGUCACUGCCGGGGGUGAUCCGGAUGUAGGACCUGCUUCAAGGACAAGGACAAGGACAGGCGGGAGCAGUGUAUUUGUGGCCCCGAGCCAGCAGAGAGAGAGAGAGAGCGCACACCCACACACACACGUAGAUAGGCAGGACGGAGCCGAGACGGGAAAGCAUCUCAUCGCCUUGUUGGGAUAAAGAGGUGGAGACACCAAACUAUGAAAGGACAGAGUCUUCUGGGGAGGAAAGCAGCUGCCCAGCAUCAACACGGCGUGGUUUCUGUGACGGCCACGCUGGGCGAGGCGCUGUAGCCUCCCCGUGGCCUUGGGACCGUGCAAACGUGUGAAGCCACACCCCUGGGCUCUCAAUCAGGAGCCUUCCGUUACACCCCGAUGCAGCUGGAUGACCAGGACCUGGCUCUGCUGAACUAUACAUGCUGGUCUUUCGAUACACGGUUUCUGAGACAAAGUAAAUUUUUAGCAAGCAGACCCACUCCUGGCAGAGGCAGCAGAGUUCUAACAAGAGCAAGAUACAGGGUCACGAAAUCUCCCCAGGCAGAGGUACGAUGGGAAGAGGAAAAGACAUAAACACCUGGGACAAAAGCCCAAGGGGAUGGAAGGAACUUCUGUCACUCCUUAUAAGAAGUCCUUGGAAUACGGAAAAGUCUACCGGGAAUAUUCUCUAUGUGAAAUAUAUCUGCUAUCACUAUUAAUAUGCAAAAUUCCAUUUACUAAGUCUUAAUAUACUAUUAUCAUUCAACUUUUUCCUUCCGGCUCUCAGGGUUAUCAAAAAUCUGGGUAUCAGAUUUUUUUUUAUCACAGUUGGAAGGGACGAGAGACAGGAUGCAUACCCAUCAGUGGAGCCCAUCAGGCAGUGCAUUUACACAGAGGACGAAACUGAGGCCCAGGGAGGACCCCUGGCACUAAUGACCAACACGGUAGCCAGAGACUCCAUCUCCUGAUGCCCAGGCCAGGCCACUCUCUCCCUCACUCAGGACGCAGUGAGAAACGAAUCCACAGUGCAUCUAAAAACUCUUGACUUCUUUCCCAAAGCCUUGCCAGCGGGACGCGCCUAGGGGAGAUGCGUGGGGCCAGGAGCCCCGCCUCCAUGUCAGUCACCUUG